GACGAACCGUGCGAACGUUGUUCGGAAUAACUGGGCUUAAAGGGUGCGUAGGCGGGUCCGCCAGUCUGGGGUGAAACCCUCCCGCUCAACGGGAGAAAUGCCGUGGAUACUGGGGACCUCGAGGAAGAUAGGGGCGUGAGGAACAGUUGGUGGAGCGGUGAAAUGCGUUGAUAUCAACUGGAACUCCGGUGGCGAAGGCGGCACGCUGGGUCUUUUCUGACGCUGAGGCACGAAAGCUAGGGGAGCAAACGGG
rnacentral:rRNA from 1 species